CUAGCCUUUGAUCGUCGCUGCUAACUCAGCGAUCGGGUUUGGUCGCCCGACUU
rnacentral:ncRNA from 1 species